GCUACAUAGUAUUCCAGGGAUUCUGAUGAAUGGGAUGAACACUGGUGCAGAUGAGGAGGAUCUCCCUCAAAACAAAUGGACUACAUGGAGUCGGCAAAGGAGAUUUUACAUAAACUGAUCAGAACAUUAAGCACUGGAUUCAAAUUACGAGAAACAAAAAGAUUCCACAAAACAUGAAGAAGAAAUUCUGAUGAUCGCAGAAUCAGUUGGAAGAUACCAGAAGGGCGAUCAGAAAUGAUGUGAUGGCACUCAACAUGAUCAUAAUAGAUGCCCUUUUACUGUCCUAUGUUAUGGCUAGUUAAUGUGACUUGCACAUUAUCAA